UAUUGGGCAAUGGGCGCAAGCCUGACCCAGCAACGCCGCGUGAAGGAAGAAGGCUUUCGGGUUGUAAACUUCUUUUGUCAGGGACGAAGCAAGUGACGGUACCUGACUAAGAAGCCCCGGCUAACUACGUGCCAGCAGCCGCGGUAAUACGUAGGGGGCAAGCGUUAUCCGGAUUUACUGGGUGUAAAGGGAGCGUAGGUGGCAGGGCAAGUCAGAUGUGAAAACCCGGGGCUCAACCCCGGGAGUGCAUUUGAAACUGUCCAGCUGGAGUGCAGGAGAGGUAAGCGGAAUUCCUAGUGUAGCGGUGAAAUGCAUAGAUAUUAGGAGGAACACCAGUGGCGAAGGCGGCUUACUGGACUGUAACUGACACUGAGGCUCGAAAGCGUGGGGAGCAAACAGG
rnacentral:rRNA from 1 species